UAAUUGUGUUAAAUAUAAUAGAAAUACUUACUUCAAACUAAAAAUAUAAAAAAAAUCAAAUUUAAAAACUAGUUAUAUAUAAUUAUACAAAAAUUCACAUACAAAUAAAAAUGAUAAAUGUAACAAAUUUAAAUAUAUUAUCCGCGCGUAGCGUGGUGAUAAGAUCUAGUUAUUAUAAAGUUAUGUUCUCUUCGUUGAUUGUGAGUGCGACACCUGUCCCACCAUUUGGAAAUUCUGCUUUUCAUUAACUAAAUCUCACGGACGUCAAAAAGCUCAGGCGGAAACCAAACGCAUCGGAAUCAAAAUUUCAGAGUGUCUCACAAUGAUACGAUUCCGCUUUACCAAUCGUCCCAAUAAGACAUCGAUGAGAUCGAGAACAUGAUGAACAACGGAUUCCAACCAGGCCGUGGAACCGUUUUUCUUCAUUGUGUUCUUGGGGCUUACGCUUUCAUGGUCUGCCUCCGUCAAGAAGUCAACCCUCAUACAAGCCACUGUGUACAAGCAUCUUAUCAAGGGGGGUUCCAUAUAUUCCAUAAGCGGUUUUGAUGUGACUCAGAGCAAUCUGUACGACUCUCCUCUAUCGAUUUGACUCAAUCGUCAAAUUGCGUCUCCACCGUCGAAGUGUGUCUCAUCAGAUUCUUGGAGGCUCUCCUUCUAUAAAAAAUGGGGAAAGAUGGCACGAAAGAUAUGUUUGGAUGAUGUUGAGGUCAAGCUUGGAGAGCUAGAAGCUGAACUUUUUGUAAUCAAGGCUAUUAAUGACAAUCUGUAGCGCCCUUACAAUGAACUUGUGGAGUUUAGGGGUCAUAUAGAGAGUGGAAGAGACCCUGAGAACUACUUGAAGUAUUCGGUUCAAGAUAUCGAGAUAAUCGUUCUUGAUUUCUUUGAAGAAUAUACACACGUCACACCCGCCAAACUUGAGAAGACGAUGAAAGAAGAAGAUUGGAGAGGUAGGAAACAAAGAUUCAGUAGUGCAGAUCAAUGGUGUUGGAGACAUGAACCUUAAAAGUUUGCUGAAAGAUGGGUUCGUGUUCGGACAUGACUUCUUACAAGUUGUAGCUGCUGUCCACAUAGGAUGGAUACUGCUCUUUGUCUUUAUUUGUGGUAUCAAGUUCCUCAACUUUCAAAAGAAGGUGAAGGAGAAGAGAACCUUUGUACCAUAGUCUUUGAAAAUUGUCAAAUAUUUGUAAUUUUUCUUUUAUUAUUAUAUAUUGUUUCUAUUUGGUUAGUAACAACAACAAUAAUAGCAGUUUAUGUUCACAAUAUUAUACUUUUGAUAGGAAAUAAUAUUUUCUCUUUCAAUACUAUGUAUUACGCAUUAUUGGUAUUUAUAUGAAAGUUAUACCUUUUCAUACAACAUGAUAACAUAUUUAUUAAUCUAUCUUUUAUUUUAACAAAAUGUUUAAAAAGGUCAAAUACUUCAUAAAUUAUCAUUUAUAAUUGAUUCAUUUUCAAUUAAAUAAACUUAUUGACAUCAAUAUGUUAACAGAUAACAUUUUUUUACGAAAUUCAUGUAAUAAAAUGUAAAAUACAUAAAUUUCAAAAACAUAUAGAAAUUUCUUAUAAGAACAAAAAAAACUCUAUGUUUGUGUACAUUUCAUGGAAUUUGAUUUCUAUUUUCUGGUUAUAAAACUCAAACAUAGAAAAAUUAACAAAAAAUGAUAUAAAACAACCAAAAACAAUAUUACAGAUAUAACUUAAUAAUACAUAAAUUAUAAAAAUAAUUAUAAAGUUCGGCUGAAAAUCCAACUACAAUGCUAAACAUAUUUUACUGUUGUUCUUUUAAAGCUUUGAUUGUUGAAGUUAAAUGAGGGAUACCCUAAAUAUAUUAAAAAGUGUGAAGACAAUUUUGUCUUUUGCUAUGUUUAGUUAGAAAUAAAAAGUAAUGUACCAAGAGUCAUAACUCAAGUCCUUAGAGCCGGAACCAUGGAAUCAAGAGAAAACACAGCAGUGAGACUCUUUGUUAACCGAUGAGAACAAGAUCAUCAUCCCGCACUCUUUGGCUUGAUGCUUAAUUAUUUUGAUAGCUUUCUUAGGGAAAUGGGAAUACUUAUUACAUAAUGCAUACUUGGAUUUAAUGGCUGAUCAAGUGUUCUUAAUGCUUUUAUUUAAGAUAUGUAAUCUAAUUGCCAGAUAUAAAGAACAUAGCAAAAUUUUGAAUCUUCUAUUCUUGAAUAUUAUAAAAAAAAUUAAAACAUAGAGAACAUAACCAAUCUUCUCAUAUAAAAGCUUUGGGAUCAGUAGCUAAAUCUAAUUGGUCAAAUAUGCCACCUCGGUAAGCAAAACUCUCAACACCCAAUUUCUUCCUCUAUAACUUUCGGGAUCUCCUAUCAAAAUCACUUAAAAUGGUGCAAAUAUUCAAGACAUAAAGUUGUAAGAAAAAACAACCGGUGAAUAUACACACUUUCUACAAUUUUAGUUUAAGAAGAUAGGCUAAAAAGUUCAUAUGAACUCCACUCAACAAGUUCUUAUAUUUAAUCAUCUCUCUAUUAGCCGGUCUGUUUACGUUUUCAAAUAAUACUUAAAUUAUUCAUCUGCACAAGAAAUAUACACACAUUGCAUUUUCUCAAUAAAUAAUAUUUCUUUAGAUACAUUAUAGAAUUCCUAAUGGUAACUAAAUAUGUGACUCUCAAAAGUGUUAUGACUGUUCUAAUAACGUUCUAAUAACGGCUUCCUCAUUUUAAACAAAUCGCAACAUCAUCAAAUGACUAAAUACAAAAUCACUACACCAUUCGAAAACUAUUACAAAUAGAAUUAUGUUAUAUCAUAAUUCUAAGUACUAUUUUUGGGUUAAAACACUAAGUGCUAACUUAAAAUUAGUUUUAAAACAAGAAGAUAAACACUAUUCAACAUAAUAAAAUAGUUUUUGUUAUAACUUUCCGUCCGUAGGGCAGACCGAAUCUAGCAUAUCUUCUAUAUAUAUAAAAGAGGAUUUUAUCCCUCUUCCUUGCGCCACAUGGGAUGUCACGUCGUGUUGACACGUGUCCCGUGGGAUGAUACUCCGCGUUUCAUUUAAAUGUAUCUCAUAAUGGGCUUUCUUUGUAUAUUGUAUGUUGGGCCCUCAUAUUGGUCCCUCUAUCCGGCCGAGACGUUGGGAUUUGCCCUCUAACCCUAAUUGCUCCAUCGAAGAUUUGCAGAUCGUCUAUACCUUCCUGCGGUGGGAGGCGGUAUCGUCAGACUGUGGUCACAAGGUUUUGCAUUUUUUGAGAGGCGCAUGAUGUCAAGAAGGGAGAUAAGCCGAUGGUUUCGGUUGAGGAGAAGGUUGAUUGUUGCUUUCUCGGGAGAUCUCAUGGACAGCUUUAUUCCGACAGAGAUCGAUAUACUGUCUCAGUUCAGACACAUGCAUUUGGUUCCUUUAAUCGGAAAUGACAAAGCAAAAGCUACCGAAAUAUUAGCCAAAGAGAUGAAAGUUUUGACACUUAAGUGUUAAAGUGUGUGCGCGUUUGAUAUCUCCACCGGGGAAAGGAGCUAUAGGGGAUGAUUGUUAAGUGUUGUGGCUUUUGUUUUUUGGUUUUAGAAUAAUAGUUGUAGAUUUUAUUGCUGUAACUGUAGAUUAAUUAUUUCGAGAGCACUAAAUAUAAAGCUCUAGAAAAAUUGAUUUCUAAAGGUAUUUUAUUUCCUAUUUUAGUUUUUAUGGCUGUACCUUAAAAUUUUUCUUAAAGCAUGAUUGCUAAACCAAAGUGGACGUAGAAAAAAAAUGAGUCGUGGAAAGUAUUCACAACACUUACCAAUCACCCCCAUAAUCAAAAUAUGGUGAUACAAAAUCAGCCAGGUACAUGGAUAAUCGUUUCGAAGGUGGAAGAAAAGGCGCAUUGGAUUUCUCUGUAUGGAUUUAGCUGGAGUUGUUGAAGCUGUUUAUGUACUUCGGUGUAGCCUAUUUGGUUUGGUUAUCUGAAUAUGAAGUAUGGUAGGAUUCACUCUUUAACCACUUCAGUUAAAACUACAUAUUUUUAUAAUAGUCUUUGUUCAAACUAUGCGUAGGGAAAGAAGUAAUCAGUUCAUUUUCCAAGCUUAAAUCAAAGGUCAUGUCAACUUUGGCUCAAGAUUGAGCAAGCUCUGAGUUACUACUAAGAGUCCAAGAGUGAUCCAGGCAGAUGUAUUAUCCUAUGAGACCAUUGUCUAUACGUACAUACACAUGGUGAAGACCAAAGGGUUUAGCUUGGAUUUGUGUGGUUGUAAGUCAUUAUUUAUUCAAACUAUGCGUAGAGAAAGAAGUAAUCAGUUCAUUUUCCAAGCUUAAAUCAAAGGUCAUGUCCACUUUGGCUCAAGAUUGAGCAAGCUCUGAGUUACUACUAAGAGUCCAAGAGGUAUCAACGUUGAUAACCACAACAAUUGUUCGCUCUUUAUAAUAUUGAUGGUUCUUUGUUUUCUCAGUGAUCCAGUCAGAUGUAUUAUCCUAUAAGACCAUUUUCUAUACGUACAUACACAUGGUGAAGACCAAAGGGUUUAGCUUGGAUUUGUGUGGUUGUAACCAAAGGGUUUAGCUUGGAUUUGUGUGGUUGUAAGUCAAAGCGCAAACACAACUCAGGUGUCUGAGCCUAAUACUAAUUUUGUUGGCGUCUCUAUUUCUCUCUCAGUUUCAUUGGUUAAAGAAGCUGGUUCAUUGGUUAUUGAAGUUAACAGGAAUAUUUUUGGCUGUCUUCGACAUGGAUUUAAGAUUUGAGAUGGGUGCUCCUUCUCAAAGGACUCGAGUAAAAAGACCAGUAAGACCAACCCAAAAGUUCCAAGAAAUAUAAUGGACCAUGGUUAGAGGGAGCCGUGGUGGUUGAGGAAACCCCUUACCACCAUUUUAGGAAGUUCUCACUACAAGAAAACAGCGGUAUUCUGACGGACAUUCCGACGGAAAAUGAAAUCCU